GAUCGGAAGAGCACACGCUUGCUAGUGACAAAUACAAUCUUUUUUUUUUUUUUUUUUUUUUUUUUUUUUUUUUAUUUUCGACAGGCAGAAUGGACAGUGAGAGAGAGAGACAGAGAGAGAAAGGUCUUCCUUUGCCGUUGGUUCACCCUCCAAUGGCCGCCGCUGCAGCCGGCGCACCGCGCUGAUCCUGGCAGGAGCCAGGAGCCAGGUGCUUUUCCUGGUCUCCCAUGGGGUGCAGGGCCCAAGCACCUGGGCCAUCCUCCACUGCACUCCCUGGCCAUAGCAGAGAGCUGGCCUGGAAGAGGGGCAACCGGGACAGAAUCCGGCGCCCCAACCGGGACUAGAACCCGGUGUGCCGGCGCCGCAAGGUGGAGGAUUAGCCUAUUGAGCCACGGCGCCGGCUGACAAAUACAAUCUUAAAAAAAAGAAAAAAAAAAAAAAAGGAAAGACAUGCACAGGAGAAAUAGCAAAGUGCCUGUCCUCCUUGGUGAUGCCAGGAAAUGAGACAGACUGACUGAGUCAAAAGUGUAGGUAGGAAUCUCAAAAAGUUAAUGAAACAUGGGAUGAAAAGAUAUUUUUGAUGCAAAAAAAAGUUUUGAAAUCCAUGUAUUUUUUUCAUUAUAUGCAUUUUCAUGAACUCUUUGAAGACAUCUUGUAUCUUAAAUGUUAAAUUUAAGUAAAUUUAUUAAAUGUUAAAAUUAAGUAAAUCCAAGUAACUGAUUGUUAUGUUAAAUAACUGACUACUUUGAUUUAGCCUGAUCUGAGAUUUUCGUGUUCAGAAUUUGCUCUGGAUAUGGUAUUUUUGGUAAAACAAUGCACAGGAUGAAAUGCAAGAAGUUAAGUAAGAAUAUUGAGCUUCUAGGUAUUGGGCUUGCCUAAGUUACACAUCAUGAUUUCAUUUUAUCUUUCCAGAAGUGGGCUAGUACACUACAUAAGAUUUCUAUUGCAUUGUAUAUGCUAAUGACUGAGAAUAUACAGCCUUUGUCAUGUAUCAGGGCUCAGCAAGGAUGACAGCAGAAAUAUCAGUUCAAUGAAUCAAUAAAAAUUAUUCAUACUUGCCA
rnacentral:lncRNA from 1 species